UUUUUUUUUUUUUUUUUUUUUUUAAACAAUGGGCCUAAAGGACCAAUACAUCAAAAAUAAAACCAGUAAAACAUUAAAACAGUAGGGAAAGUCCACAACCCCAAACAUUUUGAGAUCAAUAAAAGCAACAAACCUCUAUCUUGCCAGACUGCUAAGGAAAAAGAGAAGAUACAAAUUACUAACUUCAGAAGUGAGUAAUGUGGCAUUAUUACAGAUUCUACAGAUGCUACAAAAGGUAAUAUUAUAGAACUUAUGUUAAUAAAGAUGACAACUUAAACUGACAAAUUUCUUGAAAAAUGAAAAUUACCAAAACUCAAUCAAGAAUAGAUAACCUGCAUUACUUUAUACCUAUAAGAAAGAUAGUUAUAGUUGAAAACCUUUCUACAAGGAGAACUCCAGGUCCAGCCAUCUAGGCUGGUGAAUUCUACCAAACAUUUUAGAAAGAAAUGAUAAUAUUUUACACAACUCUACCUUCCCCAAAUAAAAAGUAUAUCCCAACGAAUUCUAUAUUGUUACCAUUACACUGAACCACAAUUCAACAAUAAUAUUAAAAAAAAAACUCACUCAUAAGCAUGGAUAUAAAAGUUCACUCAAUGUUUAUGUCCUCCAACAGGUGAAUGAAUAACAUGUGCUACAUGCACACAAUGGAUUACUACUAGUUCUAAAAGGAAAUGAGCGAUCAAGUCAUUAAAAGAAAUGAAGGAAAUUUAAAUGUAUAUUACCAAGUGAAAGACGCUAAUCUGAAAAGGCUACUUACUGUAUGAUUUUAAGUACAUGACAUUCUGGAAAGGCAAAACUAUGAAUACAGUAAAAUGGAUCGGUGGCUGCCAAAGGGUUGGUGAGGGCAGGAAAAGGGCACAUAGGCAGGACACAGAAGAUUUUUUAAAGCAGUGGAAAUCUAUGGUACUACAAUGAUGGAUACAUGUUAUUAUACCUUUACCCAGACUGAUAAAAUAUGCAUCACCAAGAGUAAUUCCUAGUGUAAACUAUGGGCUUUGCAUGAUUAUGAUGUGUCAAUAUAGGUCCCUUCAUUGUAAUAACUGUACCACCCUGGUGAGAGAUAUUGAUAAUGAAGGAGACUAUGCUCGUGUGGGGGCAGGGUAUAUGGAAAAUCUCUGUAUCUUUUCCUCCAUUUUGCUGUAAAUAUAAAACUGCACUAAAAAUGUCUAAACAAUAAACUCUAAUUGAAACUUUAGCAAACUGAAUUCAAUGACAUAAUAAAAUGUUCAUACAUCAUAAACAAAGAGUUCAUCCCAGGAAUGGAGAUGAACUUCAAACAUCACUUUUCCCCAGCCUAAUCAACAAAGUAAAAGAGAAGAUCCAUAGGAUCACUUCAACAGUUAAAGGCAUUUCAUACAAUUCAACAUUGAUUUCUGACUUUUUAAAAAAUAAAACUCUCGCCAACUGAACAGACUAGGCGAGACGAAGAAAGAUCUAUAUGAUAUCUAACAUGCAUCAUGGUGAAAAGCAGAAUGUUUUUCCAUAAGAUGGACAGUACAGAAAUGUCUACUUUCACGACUUCUAUGGAGCAUUGUUCUGAAGAUUCUAGCUAGUACAUUCAGGCAAGAGAAGUAAGUAAAAGGUAUCCAGAUUGGAAGGAAGAAGCAAAACUGUCUUUAUUCACAACAUGAUCACAAAAUAAGGUGAGUAAAUUCCAAACUGUGUGUCAGCUUCUUGUUUUUUCUAAAUAAAGGUUUAGUGGAAUAUAGCUAUAUUUAUUAAUUUUUGGAUUGUUUUGUCUAUGGUUGCAUACAUACUACAAUAGCAGAGUUGCAACACAGACUGUUUGCCAUAAGUCUGAAAAU
ensembl:lncRNA